rnacentral:rRNA from 1 species
GACGAACGCUGGCGGCGUGCUUAACACAUGCCAGUCGAACGGAAAGGCCCUGCUUUUGUGGGGUGCACGAGUGGCGAACGGGUGAGUAACACGUGAGUAACCUGCCCUUGUCUGUGGGAGAACUUCAGGAAAAUGGGGCGAAUACCGGAUAGGAGCUUCUGCUGCACGGGGGGGGUUGGAAAGUUUCGGCGGUUUGGGAUGGACUCGCGGCUUAUCAGCUUGUUGGUGGGGUAGUUGCGGACCAAGGCUGUGACGGAUAGCCGGCCUGAGAGGGGUACCGGCCACAUGGGGCCUGCGAUAGGCACCAGAAUGCUACGGGAGGCAGCAGUGGGGAGUAUGACGCAACGGGCGGAAGCCUGAGGCGACGACGCCCCGUGCGGGAUAUCGUCUUUCGGGUUAUAAACCGAUUUGUAAUGUGACGAAGCGUGAGUGACGGUAAUGGGUAAAAAAGCACCGGCUAACUACGUG